rnacentral:rRNA from 1 species
AAUGAACGUUGGCGGCGUGGAUUAGGCAUGCAAGUCGAGCGAGAACCCCGCAAGGGGGGACAGCGGCGAAAGGGACAGUAAUGUGUAGAUUAUCUGCCCUCAGGUCCGGGAUAGCUGCGGGAAACUGCAGGUAAUACCGGAUAACAUCUCCGGAUCAAAGGUGUGAUUCCGCCUGAGGAUGAGUCUGCAUCCUAUUAGCUAGUUGGUGGGGUAAUGGCCUACCAAGGCAUUGAGGGGUAGCAGGUGUGAGAGCACGACCUGCGUCAUUGGGACUGAGACACUGCCCAGACACCUACGGGUGGCUGCAGUCGAGAAUCUUCGGCAAUGGGCGCAAGCCUGACCGAGCGACGCCGCGUGUGGGAUGAAGGCCUUCGGGUUGUAAACCACUGUCAGAGGGGAUGAAAUGCAGGUGGGUUCUCCCAUCUGUUUGACAUAGCCUCAGAGGAAGGACGGGCUAAGUUCGUG